GAACUAAUCCCUAGGUUAUUUUAUUUACUAAAAAAUUAAGCUGGAACACCAGAACCGCCCACCAGAUUCCAGACUGCUUUGUAAUGGCCGAUGAGUACAAUCUGGAAUGCUGUUACUUGUUACAAAGAUAGAGGCUGCACACUUUCAUUCCCCUGCACUGCUAUGGCUUGUCCAGCAUCCACAGAACCCUGAAAAUACUACUGGUACUUGGAGGGUGCCUUUCCAACCUGAAUACACUCUUAGGGGUCUGGAUCUUCAGGCUGGAACCCAUCAAAGUGGGAAAUGAAAUGUUUCUCUCCUGUCCUCAUUUAUCACUUGCCCACCAUCCUUUGUCCUGUUGAGCAGGAUCAAUGGCUUCUGCUGGGAUCACGUGGGAAAGCCGACAGGGGUGGGGGGCUUCCAGUCUGCAGCAUCUGUGACUCUCCUGUCACCAGGUGCUUAAAGAGGCAAGAAGCAAGUUUUGAACUGUCAGUUUUAAGACCAGGGGACUGAGGCACAAGGGGCUGGGGGAUGGGGGCUUCUGAGGGUGUGGUCAUUGGAAGGGUUUUUGCAUCCUGGGAAUGUACAGAGGGUGUUCUAAGUGCAGGGCUGUCUUAUGGAAGGUUUGUUUUCUUAGUGGACUGAGCCCAGCUGUACUGGGAAAGGCGGGGCUGGUGAGUGUGGAUUUGUGUGUAUGUGUGAAAGUGUGUGUGUGUGUAUAUGUUUGUGCUUGAGUGUGGCUGUGCGGGUAGGUAUAGGAGUGUGUGUGUGUUUAUGUUUGUGUUUAUAUGAGUGUGACUGGGUAUGUAUAUGAGUGUGUGUAUCUGUGUGUGUGUGUCUUUGUGUCUUUGUGUGUGUGUGUGUCUGUGUGUGUGUGUCUUUGUGUGUGUGUGUGUCUGUGUGUGUGUGUGUGUCUGUGUGUGUGUGUGCGCCUGUGCAUAUGUGUGUUCCUUUAGGGCUGCCAGGCUGAGUUUGGACUUAACCCAACACAGCCCCUUUGAAGUGGAAAUGAGCUCAGUUCCUCUUUCCCCACUUAAACCAGAUCGAGAGCAUGAUGGGCAGGCAUUUGUAAGCUGUUUUUGCACUUUCUCACUGUCUCUGCCACCCCAAAUGGUGGCACAAACAGUGUUUUUGCAAAAGACCCCCUGGCUCCUGGGC
rnacentral:lncRNA from 10 species